UCAUCUCUCUCAAGUAAGAAGAGGGAUAUUGACUUCUAGGGUUUUAAGGGGAGUAGAGAGUAGUUCUCUCCAUAGCAAUUCUUCUUCUUUUGCAGCCCAAAGAAUCCAUGGAAAACCAAUCACAAUCUAUUGAAGGAGGCCAAUCGUAUAAAGAAAGUUGUUGAUCCAAAAUUACAGUAUGACAUGUCUUUUGAGUAUUGUUUCAUCCAAGCUUAAGGGAUGCAAAGAUCACUUCUGGAGAUGAAUAUAUCGUGUUCUUGUCAUGUUGUGAAAAGAUUUCUGAGGAACAGCUACAUGAUGCAGUUCCCUAUAUAUCAGUUUGACUUAGCUUUGUAUGGAAAACCAGGCUUUGAUGUAUAAGGAAAAUUAAGCAGGCUUACCAUAUUUGAAGUCUAUGAUGGGGACUACAGGGAAAUAGACAGCUGUAGGCUAUUGUUUUGUUUUAUGAUCUGUACAGAUUUGUAUUUUUUGUUAACCAUUGUGUAUAAAUUAGGAGUAAAGAUCUUGUAGAAUCUCAAUUCAAUCAAUACAAAUUCUUUGGUUUCCAAGAUCAAA